rnacentral:rRNA from 1 species
CUUGCUUUCUUUGCUGGCGACCGGCGCACGGGUGAGUAACACGUAUCCAACCUGCCCUUUACUCGGGGAUAGCCUUUCGAAAGAAAGAUUAAUACCCGAUAGCAUAAUGAUUCCGCAUGGUUUCAUUAUUAAAGGAUUCCGGUAAAGGAUGGGGAUGCGUUCCAUUAGGUUGUUGGUGAGGUAACGGCCCACCAAGCCUUCGAUGGAUAGGGGUUCUGAGAGGAAGGUCCCCCACAUUGGAACUGGGACACGGUCCAA